rfam:Brassica napus, WGS project CCCW01000000 data, contig: 13229
GGAAUAUAAGAACCCGUCUCUUAACUUUUAACUAAAAAAGUUAAGAACCAGCUCUUAAAACUCUUAUUUAAGAAAUGGUUCUAUUUAAGAGUUGGUUCUUAACUUUUUUUAGUUAAAAGUUAAGAGACGGGUUCUUAUAUUCC